ensembl:lncRNA
AACACAUUCUGUAUCCUAGAGCACUUAACCUUUGCCACUCCAAACAAAAACAAAAACAAAAUCCACUUUCCUUUUCAAAAAAGCCUCAUACUUAGGAGCUUUUAUUUUAAAGAUACGAAUUUGCUGUAGAAUUCAAAGCUUACUUUUGUCAGUCAAGGUUGAAUAUCAAUUAUUUACUUCUCUUUGCAAACCUGCUGUACAAGUCUAUGCUGUGACAAAGGACGAUAGUGACCAAGGAGCCAUAAUAUUAAGUAUAAAGAAUUUUUUUUUAAUUUUUUUAAAGUUUAUUUAUUUACUUUGGUGGGAGGGGCAGAGAGAGAGGGAGAGGGGGAGAGAGAGAGAGAGAGAGAGAGAGAGAGAAUCCCAAGCAGGGUCCACACUGUCAACACAGAGCCCAACUUGGGCCUGGAAAUCAUGAACCAUGAAAUCAUGACCCAAGCCAAAACUGAGUUGAAUGCUUAACCGACCGAGCCACCUGGACUCCCCUAAAGAAAAGGUUUUUAAAAGGCCAUCUGAAUAUUUUUUACUUGCUCCCUCCAGACCCACCUUCUAAAUUUCUCUGCCCUGCUCUUUGUCUCAGGAUGCUGAGUUUCAUGAACUCUAUCAACGGCCCACGUCCCCUCUGGCUUCCAGGUGGGUUUGGCCAAUGGAAAAGACUGACAGGCAUUGUUCCUGAUUUCCUUCCUGUUUGCUCUCUGCAAGUGAGCUGGGACUCUGCUAAAGUCAACUCCUCUUCCAUCACUACGGUGUUCAUGGAUUUCUUGCCUAUGGUUCAGCCCAGGACUUAUUUUCAUCCAUCCUCUUCAAAGCAGGGAAUACAUGAAACUUUUCGGAACACCUAGAAGCCAAGAACAUGAAGUAAGUCACUCGUUCACAAAGAAGUGUUGGCAUCUAACAGAAUUAAUCUCAGCAUCACGCCCCAGUCCUACUAAGCCACGUGACUGCUCACAAAGCACAGAACUGGUGAUAGAUGAGGUCCCAACAGCGGCAUCUCAGGCAUCAGCAAGCCAGUGAGUAAAGUAUUUCUGCAGGCUGCUUAUCACCCUCAGAACCACAGUCUCAGAGACCAUCAGAAAAUGGCAAGGCCAUCAAAGGUCUACAGGCACCAUCAUUUUAUGUGCAGUUGGGAGGAUUGGAUCCAAUGAAGGGCAAUCAAAAGCAAGGCAGCUGCAUGUUAGCAGGGAAGUGAGAAACAGAGCAUAGGUCCCUGAAUAUAGGAAUCCAGAACCCUCUUUGUAAUUUCAUUCUUACCCACAUUACAUCUUAUAUGCUUAUAAUUUUGGACUAUGUUAAAAUGUACUCCAAGUUCCUCUUCUUGGGUACAGUCAUGGCCCUCAUAUGACCUCAACUACAUGCAGAAGAAGAGAAUAUCUAUAAGUUUCCAUUACUCUUUGGGGGAAAAAGCCUAACUUUCCUCCACUGAAAGACAUAUAGAGACCAUAUGGUAUUUGCACACAGGUCCUUCUUCACUCAAACACCUUAGACCUGUUCUGAGAACAGAUAUACUUUCAGCAUCCUGGCAUUACAUUGUAUGAUCACCUAAACUCAUUCCAGCACCACAGGAGGGAGUGGGGCAGGAAAUUUUGGGUGUGGAGUGAUGAGCCUGGGAACCAGGGCUUAGAAUUCUAUUCUCGGUUUUAUCUCUAACUCUCAGUGUGGCUUUGGGCAAGACUGUUUCCUUCCUUUCUGAAUGGAUUCAUUUGUGCAAUGGCAAUAAAAUCCUUUACUAACUGGAUACA